rnacentral:rRNA from 1 species
CCUACGGGAGGCAGCAGUAGGGAAUCUUCCACAAUGGGCGAAAGCCUGAUGGAGCAACGCCGCGUGGGUGAAGAAGGUCUUCGGAUCGUAAAACCCUGUUGUUAGAGAAGAAAGUGCGUGAGAGUAACUGUUCACGUUUCGACGGUAUCUAACCAGAAAGCCACGGCUAACUACGUGACAGCAGCCGCGGUAAUACGUAGGUGGCAAGCGUUAUCCGGAUUUAUUGGGCGUAAAGGGAACGCAGGCGGUCUUUUAAGUCUGAUGUGAAAGCCUUCGGCUUAACCGGAGUAGUGCAUUGGAAACUGUGAGACUUGAGUGCAGAAGAGGAGAGUGGAACUCCAGGUGUAGCGGUGAAAUGCUUAGAUAUAUGGAAGAACACCAGUGGCGAAAGCGGCUCUCUGGUCUGUAACUGACGCUGAGGUUCGAAAGCGUGGGUAGCAAACAGGAUUAGAUACCCUAGUAGUC